rnacentral:rRNA from 1 species
CCUACGGGGGGCAGCAGUGAGGAAUAUUGGUCAAUGGACGAGAGUCUGAACCAGCCAAGUAGCGUGAAGGAUGACUGCCCUAUGGGUUGUAAACUUCUUUUAUAUGGGAAUAAAACGUUCCACGUGUGGGAUUUUGUAUGUACCAUAUGAAUAAGGUUCGGCUAACUCCGUGCCAGCAGCCUCGGUAAUACGGAGGAUCCGAGCGUUAUCCGGAUUUAUUGGGUUUAAAGGGAGCGUAGGUGGAUUGUUAAGUCAGUUGUGAAAGUUUGCGGCUCAACCGUAAAAUUGCAGUUGAAACUGGCAGUCUUGAGUACAGUAGAGGUGGGCGGAAUUCGUGGUGUAGCGGUGAAAUGCUUAGAUAUCACGAAGAACUCCGAUUGCGAAGGCAGUUCACUGGACUGCAACUGACACUGAGGCUCGAAAGUGUGGGUAUCAAACAGGAUUAGAUACCCCUGUAGUC